rnacentral:pre_miRNA from 1 species
AACUCUCUGAAUCCGUGCAGAGAUUUCGCCAGACGCCAACCCAUUAGGGCUGGUCAGACUUCCAAGAUGAUUGAAGAU